AUCAUCCUCCUGAACUCGAUUCUUCGACCAUUAAGAUCAAGAAUCUUUUACAGGGUUACCAAACUCGUUUAAAUGCGGUUUCCUCGGGGAAAGAUAUGCACGAACGUCACCACCGUCGCGCGUUUCUGUUCGUAGUGAUGUCGUAAACCAAUCGGUCCGCGAUCACGCACACGCACACACGUACCACAGAAAGAAGCGAGAGCGGAAAAAGCGAUAAAACGAGAGCGAUAAGGAGAACGAAUCGAAGGAAGGAGGAAGGGAAUCCAAUAUAACUGCACACACGUUUAUAGGGUCGAUGGGAAUAUAUUGGAGCGGAUAUUGAAAUACUUGUUGGUAGUUUGAGUCGAAGGCGAGAGAUGCCUUUCUCGAUGCCAUCUUGAUUGCGCAAUCGAGGCAUCGGUCCACGAGUACAGAAUUUAACGAUAAAGAUCGUACGGAUUAUAGAAUCCUAGACGGGGAACAGAGCCCCCUUCCUAUCUAUCCUCCUUUCCCGGGUUCUGUGCCUUUAUCGGUAUUACGAGUCUCAACCCCUCGCUGUUUACGAGAGAACCGCAUCGUUCCGUUAAAUGAAACCGAUAUUAUGUCAUCACGGUUACAAUUGGUUACUUAACCUCACCAUUCCUUUUCUGGAAGUUUCUUCUUGUAAAUCAAGUAUAUCCAUGGUUUUCGUUCAUUUACAGAAACGGAAAUGUUAACAAAGCAAGGAAAAGAGAAAAAUGUGCACCAACAAUUACAGUUUAUAUUAAGAGGACCGUCGUUUCACGCCCUUUGCAUACUUUCCUUUCUCUUUCACGAAAGAUAUGUAUUCAGUCUUGUAUAAUAAUCGCUUCGUAUUUCUUGGAAUAAAGAGUCUUUGAACGAAAUAACUGUCCUUGUAUUAGUUUCAAAAAUAUCAAUAAACACGAAUGGAAACGUGAUGAACACAAGAAGUAAUUACAAUACGGAUAGUCUUUUACAGUUUCUGAAACGGAGAAUUUCCUGCAUAAUUCUAUAUUACAAAAACGAAGAGGGAUUAAGGAGGAAGAUAGAAUUCUGGAACGCGAACGAUUCUGUCGAACGGAAAUGCAAUUCGCAGCGGCGCCGGUAGUCGAGUCUCAGCUCGAGUCGACAGAUAGAUAGAGUCAAGAUUCAAUUAGCUCUAGCUGUCAACUGCAUGAUACUCAUCGAUUCAAUACACCUUCUCGUUUGUGUGCCCCCGCACAUGCUUCUUUCUCGUGCGUGUUUGACUGCGUGAGCGAGCGCGCGCACGCGACCGUACGCCAGUUCAGGUUUCGCGUUUAGUCUCGUUACGUUUUGCACACCCGAACUCCUCCGUGUGUAUGUGUGUCAUCGUAUACCUGUACUAUACAUACGUGUUUGAUCACGUGAAUGCGCUUAGUACACGCGUGCAUGCUGAAAAUUAGCCCGGUCGGGCAAAUCGUGAAUUUUGGAAAUGAUUUUACGGUCGCGGGAGAGUGCGAGGAGUACAUAAAUUUUCGACGAGCUCGAUUUCACCGAAUAAUGAGACAGACCAUCUGUCGUAAUAGAAAUACCAGUAAUAUUCAAAUUCCCGAUUCACCGUGUUUAACGUACAAAAAGAACCGUGUUAUACAAAAAGAAAACAUUCUAGCUAGUCAGUUUUCAACUGUAGGUUAUGUUGAUUGAAUCAAUAUGAUAAAUUUUGUUUAAUUUGCUUUAAAUAUCUACUCAUUAUACGGUUGAUGCUCAUUUAUAAUAAUAGUAUGUAGAAAGAAACGAUAUAGUAAGCUUGAAAGUUAAAAUACUCAGAAUCGACCUCCAUUGGUAUAAUCACAUUCAGAACUAUAUAUGUUUUGUAAACACAUUUUGAAUCUUGGGUUGCAAAAGUUACUUGUGAGUUGAUAUUCUGCUUAUUUUUAUAAUCUUUCAGCAAAACUAUAGAAUAUUACGACCUCUUGCUCACUGACGAUAGUCGUAUCAUAUAAUGAAAGUUAAUCUAUAA